rnacentral:rRNA from 1 species
AUACGUAGGGGGCGAGCGUUGUCCGGAAUGAUUGGGCGUAAAGGGCGCGUAGGCGGCCUGUUAAGUCCGGAGUGAAAGUCCUGUUUUCAAGAUGGGAAUUGCUUUGGAUACUGAUGGGCUUGAGUGCAGGAGAGGUUAUCGGAAUUCCCGGUGUAGCGGUGAAAUGCGUAGAGAUCGGGAGGAACACCAGUGGCGAAGGCGGGUAACUGGACUGCAACUGACGCUGAGGCGCGAAAGUGUGGGGAGCAAACAGGAUUAGAUACCCUGGUAGUCCACACUGUAAACGAUGAAUGCUAGGUGUAGGGGGUAUCGACCCCUUCUGUGCCGCAGUCAACACAAUAAGCAUUCCGCCUGGGGAGUACGGCCGCAAGGUUGAAACUCAAAGGAAUUGACGGGG